CUUAUUUAAUGGAGCAUCCACCUCUAGCAGUAUUUGUUAAUGGUAUGCUGGACUUUCACUUCUCAAACCCAUUGCUUGCUUGGGGUGGUUAGUGCUGGUGAUGCUUGUUGCUGUGGCUCUUCUGUAUGUUGACUCUGAUUCCAAGUUAUGUUCACCUGUUGAAUGGAUUCUAGAAUGGUAAUAGAAAUGGUUGCAUCAUUGAUGUAAAUGGAACCUUGCGGACAACAUUACACCCAUGGAAGAAUUGUUGUGAUAACUAUCUAAUCAAUGACGUUCCGUUGGAUGUUGAUUUCCAACUUGAUGCUUUUAGAGCGAUGCGGUUUUGCAGAGCUGAAAGUUGUGAUUUAUGACCUAAUGAUGUAUCAUAUAUCUCGUGAAUUGCUUGCUUCCAUUGAGAAAAUACUUAUGUCCUGUUCAACUUUUGCGUUAUUUGCUUCAGAUGUAUU
rnacentral:lncRNA from 1 species